rnacentral:rRNA from 1 species
UACGAAGGGGGCUAGCGUUGCUCGGAAUCACUGGGCGUAAAGCGCACGUAGGCGGAUUGCUAAGUCAGGGGUGAAAUCCUGGAGCUCAACUCCAGAACUGCCUUUGAUACUGGCAACCUUGAGUCCGGGAGAGGUGAGUAGAACUGCGAGUGUAGAGGUGAAAUUCGUAGAUAUUCGCAAGAACACCAGUGGCGAAGGCGGCUCACUGGCCCGGUACUGACGCUGAGGUGCGAAAGCGUGGGGAGCAAACAGG